GGAUGCUUUGAAAAAAUGUCAUGAAGUAGAAAGGCACUCUCCUUCCACAUGGACCACAGGAGGAAAAGAGCCGCAAAUGCACCCCUGAGGCAGUCCUCAGCAGCCCUCAGUUGUGGGGGCAGUCGGCACCACUGUUCCCAUCCUGACGCAGUAUAGAACCACAGGCAUCGUAGUCAGCAUUUUUUUGAGAUAACUGAUGACCAAUUCGACUUCCAUACAUACUGCAUGAGAAAGAUGACCCUUCGUGCCUAUGUUGACCUUUUGAGAUUAGAAGAUAUACUCAGAAGACAUGCCUUUUAUUUCAAGGCUGCUAGAUCAGCGAUUGAAAUAUACUUGAAAUUGUAUGAUAAUCCCUUAACCAAUGAAAGCAAACAACAAGAAAUAAACUCAGAAAACCUGUCAGCCAAAGAAUUGAAGAAAAUGCUUAGCAAGCAGAGAAGAGCUCAGAAAAAGGCUAAACUAGAAGAAGAAAGAAAGCAUGCAGAAAGAGAACGUCAACAGAAAAAUCAAAAGAAAAAAAGAGAUGAAGAAGAAGAAGAAGCCAGUGGCCUUAAGGAAGAACUUAUACCUGAAAAAUUAGAAAGGGUAGAAAAUCCAUUAGAGGAAGCCGUUAAGUUCCUUAUACCUCUUAAGAACCUUGUUGCUGAUAACAUUGACACUCAUCUGUUAGCAUUUGAAAUAUAUUUUAGAAAAGGAAAGUUUCUGUUAAUGCUGCAGUCUGUCAAACGAGCUUUUGCCAUCAACAGUAAUAACCCAUGGUUACAUGAAUGUUUAAUUAGAUUUUCUAAAUCUGUGUCUAAUCAUAGUAAUCUUCCAGACAUUGUGAGCAAAGUUCUA
rnacentral:sRNA from 1 species